CACUAGUCACAGGGGAUUUCAUUAGCUCACGUGCAGAAGACUUAGCACUCCAGAAUGCUGAUGCACAGGGAGAAAUUCCAGCUCUGCAUCUCAAAAAUACAAGCCCUAAGAGAACUGCUCUGAAGAACAUCAAGCUCAAAACUAUCUCCUGCAGGGUCAAUUUGGGACUGUUGACUUGCUGGCAUGAGCAAGGCUGCAGGUAUUUGAAUGUACUGUGUUCUCAGUGGAGUGAUGGUGGCUGCAUUGCACCGAGAAGCCGUGUGCAUGGGGAGCUACACCCUAGCCAAGGCUAGCACCCUCUCGUUUGUGACAUCACCCAAGAGGUGAUGAAUUGCCCUGAUCUCCAUGGGUGCUGAGGGACACACGUGAGGACCAGACAGAAGGACAUCUGUGGCUCCAAAACCACUCAGAGGUAAAGAGGGGAGGCUCACGAGCCAAGGUCUCCUCUUGCUGAAGCUGCUCUCCUCCGUUGGCGCGCAGUGGAGACGAGAUCAAUCACGGCUGCUGCAGCUCUCGGGUGACAUUUCUAAGUGCUCCACUGAGAGGAGAUGAAUUAGAAACAGUCGCAGCAUAACCAUGGGGUGCUCAGGUCUCCCUCCUGGGCUACAGCCUUGCUCUCCUCCAGACCACGCUUCCCGAGACAGAUGGGAUCAAGGAGAUAAGGCUUGUACAUAGCGUCACCAAUCCUGAUAACAAGCUAUUAACAAGAA